UACAGAGGGUGCGAGCGUUAAUCGGAAUUACUGGGCGUAAAGGGCGCGUAGGUGGUUAAUUAAGUCAGAUGUGAAAUCCCCGGGCUUAACCUGGGAAUGGCAUAUGAAACUGAUUAGCUAGAGUUUGGGAGAGGGAAGUGGAAUUUCAGGUGUAGCGGUGAAAUGCGUAGAUAUCUGAAGGAACACCAGUGGCGAAGGCGACUUCCUGGCCCGAUACUGACGCUGAGGCGCGAAAGCGUGGGGAGCAAACAGG
rnacentral:rRNA from 1 species